rnacentral:rRNA from 1 species
ACCUGAACAUACCCAGUCAUGUCUAAUCUCAGAAGGUGAGAUGGAUCAUGUGUAUUUGAAUGGGAGACCACUUGGAAAUACCAGGGGUUGCAGGCA